rnacentral:rRNA from 1 species
CAGCCGCCGCGGGAAAACAGAGGAUGCAAGCGUUAUCCAGAAUGAUUGGGUGUAAAGCGUCUGUAGGUGGCUUUUCAAGCCCGCCGUCAAAUCCUAGGGCUCAACCCUGGACAGGCAGUGGAAACUACCAAGCUGGAGUACGGUAGGGGUAGAGGGAAUUUCCGGUGGAGUGGUAAAAUGCGUUGAGAUCGGAAAGAACACCAACGGCGAAAGCACUCUGCUGGGCCGACACUGACACUGAGAGACGAAAGCUAGGGGAGCAAAUGGGAUUAGAGACCCCAGUAGUCCCUGUCUCUUAUAA